UUGGACGACUCCUGACCUUGCAUCAAUCUAGCUCAUUGCCCAGUCAUUAAAAUUCUCAGCUGUUGGUUGGGAGAGUCCAGAUUCAAGCCCACACUGUAACAAAACAGUUUUGUUCCAAUCUUGGACAACGCAGCUCACCCUCUCCAUGACACACUGGUCAAUCUGAGGAGUACCUUCAGCAACAGACUGGUUCCACUAAGAUGCAACACAGAAUGCCUCAGGAUCCUGGACUUUCCACUCAUCACUUUAAUGCCAUGUUUCAUGUAUUUUGCUGUGUUUUAUAACUGUUGAAAGACCAAUUUCCCUCCUGGCAUAAAUAAAGUUCUCUCGUAUUUUAUCGUAUCGUUUUCACCGAGUGAGAGGUGGAUGUCAUCUUUCAAGUGAAGUUUUAAACCGAGAUGCGACAUAUCAAUAUUUUGUUUCACAAAAACAUGGAGUCCUCCCAUUGUCAAGGUCACCGCCUGAAACAACAAUAUCGGAAAAGUAGGGAGGUUUGAUAAUCACCUGUACGGAAUUUGCUAUUAAAAAUAUUUAUAUACAAUG